UGAAUCAGGAGACGGAUGCUAAACGCAGCUCUGAGACUUUAUUCGGAAGAAAAGAUGAUCAAUUAUCGGUGCUGUAGAUACUGAGAAAUAUGGGGAAAAUCCACUGGAGGAGACACAGAAGAGGAUGAGGAGACUCCAUCGUAUCUCUACCAGACGUCAUCUAGAGCUAAUCAGUGUGAUUUUUGUGGAUGACCCAGUGCUCAGACUACCAGUUCUUCAGUUUUCCAGCAUAGUUUUCAGAUUUCAACCUUUUCCAGCAGAUUGUAGAUUCAUCUAUUCAUGUUAAAGAUGAUUAAACACAACUAUUAAAAAAAAAUGUUGAAACCCUCACCAACGCUCCAGAAGGAAACACAAUGCAUUAAAAAAAGCCAGGGGGUGAAAACUUUUAACCAGAAUAAUGUUGUUCACAAUUGUUCUUAUUUUACUAAUUCCAGAAGUAAAAGAUACAUGUUCAGAAGACAAAUUAGGUACAAUUUACCUUAAAUCUUCAAUUGCAAAAGUUUUCACCCCCCUUCCCCUGGCUCAUGCAUUGAGUUUCUGACUUACUUGAUUCUGUAUUAUUGUUACUUGUGUUUGUUCUUUAUUUAUUAGACCUUGAGUCUGGAAAUAAAGUCAUAUAUAUAUAUAUAUACAGUUGAACUCAGAAUUAUUUGCCCUCCUGUUAAUUGUAAUACUUUUAGAUUUUUCCCUGAUUCCCUGAUACUUCCCUGAUUUAAGUUUAAUGAAGAGAAGAUUUUCUCAACACAUUUCUAAACAUAACAGUUUUAAUAACUCAUCUCUAAUCACUGAUUUAUUUUAUACAUCCAUAAUAUUAGACUAGAUAUUCUUCAAGACACUAGUAUUCAGCUUAAAGUGACAUUUAAAGGCUUCACUAGGGUAAUUAGGGUAAAGUUAGAGUAAUUAGGCAAGUCAUUGUAUAACAGUGGUUUGCUCUGGAGACGAUCCAAAACUAAUAUUGCUUAAAGGGGCUAAUAAUAUUGACCUUAAAACGGCUUUAACACAAUUAAAACUGGUUUUAUUUAAGCCCAAAUAAAACAAAUAAGACUUUCUCUAGUAAUAUUAUAGAAUAUACUGUGAAAAAGUCCUGAAUCUGUUCAAUAUCAUUUGGGAGACAUGGUAUAAAGGUGAAUAAUUUUGACUUCAACUGUGUAUAUAUUGUACUGAAAAACACUCAACCAUCACAAAAUAAAAAUAUUUAAAAAACCCCAUCAGGAUUGGACCACCAGUGUUUAUUUUCCCUGUUUCAGCCUCCUUCAUAAUUCUACCAGACGUCAUCUAGAGCUCAGGAUAAGUGUGAGUUGUGGAGUUUUUGUGGACGCCCGUCCCGCCUGCCCAGUGUUCAGACUACCUGUUCAGGAAUUAGCGUUUGUACAGUAGUCUGCACAUUGGUUAGGCUGGAUGGGGAUGCUCGAGGUGGACCGCAGGAGGAUGCGAAUCAUCUGUUCUGCAUGCAAUCAUGUCAUAUAUCAAUAAAACCGACAAUAUUAAUAA